CACGUAGGGUGCGAGCGUUGUCCGGAAUUAUUGGGCGUAAAGAGCUCGUAGGCGGUGUGUCGCGUCGGCCGUGAAAACCUGCAGCUUAACUGUGGGCUUGCGGUCGAUACGGGCAUCACUGGAGUUCGGCAGGGGAGACUGGAAUUCCUGGUGUAGCGGUGAAAUGCGCAGAUAUCAGGAGGAACACCGGUGGCGAAGGCGGGUCUCUGGGCCGAUACUGACACUGAGGAGCGAAAGCGUGGGGAGCGAACAGG
rnacentral:rRNA from 1 species